rnacentral:rRNA from 1 species
CCCCUAGUAACGGCGAGUGAAGCGGCAACAGCUCAAAUUUGAAAGCUGGCCUUCGGGUCCGCAUUGUAAUUUGUAGAGGAUGCUUUGGGGCAGCCGCCUGUCUAAGUUCCUUGGAACAGGACGUCAUAGAGGGUGAGAAUCCCGUAUGUGACAGGACAUGGCACCCUAUGUAAAGCUCCUUCGACGAGUCGAGUUGUUUGGGAAUGCAGCUCUAAAUGGGAGGUAAAUUUCUUCUAAAGCUAAAUACCGGCGAGAGACCGAUAGCGCACAAGUAGAGUGAUCGAAAGAUGAAAAGCACUUUGGAAAGAGAGUUAAAAAGCACGUGAAAUUGUUGAAAGGGAAGCGCUUGCAAUCAGACUUGUUUUGACUGUUCGGCCGGUCUUCUGACCGGUUUACUCAGUCUGGACAGGCCAGCAUCAGUUUUGGCGGCCGGAUAAAGGCCUAGGGAAUGUGGCUCCCGCUUCGGUGGGAGUGUUAUAGCCCUGGGUGUAAUACGGCCAGCCGGGACUGAGGUCCGCGCUUCGGCUAGGAUGCUGGCGUAAUGGUUGUAAGCGACCCGUCUUGAA